ensembl:snoRNA Small nucleolar RNA SNORD66
CUCUGAAGGAUGACUUUUAAUUUGUGCCACGUGUCUGGGCCACUGAACAUUGGUGAUGGUAAUGAGGAACUGAAGAG